AUGGGAAUCACAUUUCAACAUGAGAUUUGGAGGGGACAAAAUCUCACCCAUAUCAAGUGUCCCCAGAAAUGUAGAAAGUUCUUGAGAUGAGCCAUCACUAGCUAAUACAAAUGUGUCCCUUUCAUGAUUGCACAUUUUAAAUGAGUUUGCACAUGAUAUCAUAGACAAUUCUAAAAAUUAAAUCGUGAGAACCCACGGGGUCAGACACACGUGGACGGACAACAGAUGCUCUAGAAAGCAUACAUUAGUCCUGGGCGGGUCCCACAAUGUUCCCAGCAAGCGUGUCAUUGUUGAAAGAACAGACAACACUGUUACAGCCACAUCUUUCACACUUAUCUGCCACCAUAUAAGCCAGCCCUCAGGACGUCUCUCAGCAAGACGUGGUGGUAGGAGUUGGCAUCCAUGCCAGGACGCUUGAGGGUGUGAGGAUGCACCUGGGUACCUCCAUGCCUGCGGGGUCCACGCGCCUUCAUCUUCACACGCCCACCACAGCCCAUCACUCACACAAGGCUCCCGAGCCACGGUCUCUUUGCCUGGGCUCCCGCUCUGCUCCUUCCUCUGGGAGGCCACACUUCACUACGUGUGCCACUAUGGCACCCGCUCACACUUCACUACAUGUGCCACAGCGCCUCUGCUCAUGCUUCACUAUGUGUGCCACGGCGUCCCUGCUCACACUUCACUACAUGUGCCACAGUGCCUCUGCUCACGCUUCACCACAUGUGCCACGGCACUUCUGCUCACACUUCACUAUGUGUGCCACAGUGCCUCUGCUCACACCUCACCACGUGUGCCAUGGCACCCCUGCCUACAUUUCACCACGUAUGCCACAGUGCCUCUGCACAUGCUUUGCUACACGUGCCACUGAGCCCUCACACAUGCAUCAUCCAUCAUGUGUGUCUCUCAGAUUAGUCAUUCCCAGGUUAGAUGACAAGAGCUUCCUGAGAUACAAGGUCACUUUUUAAGAAAUACAGAAAUUAUUUUCUAAAAGCAGAGUAUUUCUGCAAGGUCAUCCUGCAAGUUAGCGAAGCAGCCCCCAGCAGACCCAUGGUUCAGAUGUUGAUCUUCAGCUACCGAGUGUCCCAUUCUGCUCACGUGUGUGUGAAUGAGUGAAUUUCUGAAGCAGGUGCGGGUGUGAGCAGGUGAAUUUCUGAAGCAGGUGUGGGUGUGAGCAGGUGAGUUUCUGAAGCAGGUGUGGGUGUCAGCAGGUGAGUUUCUGGAGCAGGUGUGGGUGUGAUCGGGUGAAUUUCUGAAGCAGGUGCGGGUGUGAGCAGGUGAGUUUCUGGAGCAGGUGCGGGUGUGAUGGGUGAGUUUCUGAAGCAGGUGCUGGUGUGAGUGGGUGAGUUUCUGAAGCAGGUAUGGGUGUGAGCAGGUGAGUUUCUGGAGCAGGUGCAGGUGUCAGCAGGUGAAUUUCUGAAGCAGGUGCGGGUGUGAGCAGGUGAGUUUCUGGAGCAGGUGCCGGUGUAAGCAGUUGAGUUUCUGAAGCAGGUGCAGGUGUGAGAGGGUGAGUUUCUGAAGCAGGUUGGCUCAUCUUGAAAGCUCUGUCUUGUGAACAUCAUAACUGAACAGUUAGUGUUUGAGUUUUUAUUUUUGUAGUGAUUCUUAUUCCACAAAAAUGUGGUUUUUUCUAUUUUUUUUUCUUUUUGUUCUCAGAGUUCACCAGCACUGGUUUGGAAGCAACAGAAGCUAGAAUUUUUCCAGCAAAAUCACCCAGAAUUGUGUGUGAACGCCAGUGCUUUCUUGCCAUGAGAAUUUACAGUCGUGUUACCACACAGACUGUAUUUGUGUAGUCGGCAUGUCCUAAGGGUCUUCUCUGUUCCGGGCACUGCCUGGGUGUCACAGAUGUGAGGGAGGAAAUGAGCAAGGCGCACCCACAGCCGGAUGUGGACAGUUGAGGGACACCUCGAUGGGGUCACAGGCAGGGGCGGCAAGGAGUGACUGGAAGGGCGGCUGAGCUGUGGGGAGUAGGUAGAGUCAGGCCCCACACGCCAGGCCCCAUCCACCUGGGCUGUGACCCUGGAGGGGUUGUCUUCCUGUCCCCAGGCCCCUGCUGCCCAGGAGACAGGCUGCCUCCAGGAGGGUUUGGUGCAGGAGGGGCAUAAGCAGCCAGCAGGAGACGGUGAUGGUGGGCACUGGAUGGGCAGGAAACACAGAGCUCGGAGCCCUGGUUUCAUGAAGGAGAAGUGGGGCACGAGGUCGAGGGGGCAGGUGGUGGCGGCACUGUCAUAGGAGCUGGCUGUGCACAUGCUGAGGCUCAGGGGUCACUGGGCAAGGGAGUGAGGGCAGCCAUGGAUCUGGCGAGCCUGGGUGCCGGGAAGACUGGGAGGGGAAUAGGUCUCUGUGGAGGGGAAGGGGUGGGUGGAGUUGCGAGAAGGCCCCAGGCUCUGUCCAUGGGCUGCUCACUGCCCAGAGAGGGCAGACCAGGGAUUACCACUUGCGCGUCUUGGUUCAGUUGUUUGGAGACGGUGCAAUUAACCUGACAUGGGGGCAGCAAGUAGUGCCUGCAGGGCCACCUGGAUGCCACCCCCUGUGCCCCCGGCCUCAACAGCAGGCUUUGGUGGCCUCGCCUUCCGCCUAAAGUGGCUUUGGGAAAACUAGCACUUAGCGCCAGCCAGGCCAGCCGGGUCCUCAAGCAGUUUCCAAACAGCCACAGGCUCCAGCUGCCCGACCCCACCAGGGCGCCCGGCUCACGGUGCUGCGGGUGCCACACAGCAGGCCCAGGACAGAGACUGCACCUCCAAGCACUCAGCCAUGAGGGAGACGCAGCACUUACAUAACGCGCUAUGAUCGGGGCUAUUUUUAGCCACCAUAUGUGCUGUCUUAUGAGCUGAGCUUUCCCUAAUUUGAGGUGUUCUUUUUUCUUUUAUGGAUGCCUUCAGCAUGGCUUGGAAUCGAAAAAUAAGACAUUGGAAGAGCCAAAAUCCAGUGUUCCCAAAACCAGGGUUCCUGUGCCUCCACCCAGAGCAAAGCCCGUGUGGUGCUGAGGGUGUGAGGGAGCAGGGUAUGUUCACGGCUACCCACGUGGGCGCUCAAGCACCCAGCAAGGCAGGAAGGACAAGGGCCUCCUCUGAGAACGCGCACGCCUCUUCUCCUUUAGUCCAACAGUUGCGCAGUCCUCAGAUAGAUGCAUCUUUUAUAAAAUGCUGUUGCCAAAUCUAACCCUCUUCCACUGUACUGUGUGUGCGUGUUCACAUUUUCUGAUUUCAUAAUUUAUUUUUGGAUUUUAUAUGUUCGUGUUUAUAUCAAACUAAAUCUAGAUCCUCGAGUAUGUGGUUGGAGAAAGUGAAUCUGAUUUUUAGUCUGCAUGGGACCAGAACUCUGGUUUUUCCUAUGACGCCAGUGCAGCCUGUGUGUGCAGGAACAGUAGAAAGCGAGGUGUCUGACGGAUCCCCGACUUCUGGGUCGUCCAGCAGAUCCCUCACAUUGGCAAAGUACGCUUGUAUGCGGCCCUGCAACCAGACCCUCCCCUGUGCGGAGGAGCUGACUGCGGGGGCUGGGGGAACGGUGGCGGUAGGAGCACUGCUAACUCCAGGAGGACUGCUCGGCGGAGGUGAUGCUUGAUGAGAGCCUGACGGGAGGAGGAGCUGUUCAGAUGGAGAGUGGGGGACGAGGAGCUUCCCCUGGAAUGCAGAGCAGCUCUGGGAUGAGGGGUGAGAGGGCAGGCUGCCAAGGAGAGACAGCCAGGUCUGUGUGCCCCUCUCUGAAGAGGCAAGACCGUCUCACAGGGCAGGGAGCUAAAAUGCAUGCUAAGGAACCAUGGUGAUGGGGGACCCAGCUCUUCCCUCUGUGGCUGAGCUUUCUCAGGACAGGACCACUGUGCACAGCGAGCACAGCCCCGGGACCAGGGCCUGCCGGGCGUCUCCUGCGCACCAGCUGCUGGGGCAGAUGCAUUUCAGCACACCCAGCACAUCCAUCAACCCCAGACUACAGGUGGAGGAGCUGGGCUUCGUGCGACAAGGGAACCUGCUGAUGGGGUGGGGCGGCUCUGGGGCCAGCCUAGGCCUUCCUGUCUCUGAAGCCCGAGCUCUCUCCCUGCUCCGGGGGUCCCAGGGCCGCGGUGUGAGCAGUGCUGGUUCAUGCAGAAUAUUGUGGAGGAGGCAGCCCAUGAGGCUUCCAGCAAGAGAGAUCUCAGCAGCUGCGGCCCCUCGACCGUAAGACAUGAAUCCAUGGCACUGAGAGCAUCCAUUUAAGCGACUGUCUCUCAUCCGAAGGGUCGCUCCUCCCACCUCAGUGAGGAUUUAACGACCUUGAGGAUCUCUAGCAGGGGUGGGAGACCCAGAGGCCCCAGCCCUUCCUCUGGUGGGUUUCCUGGAACAUCUAGUAACGUCAGCACCAGUCACUCUGUUCUCUCGAGAGACCUCGGAGGGACACGGUGAGUGAAAGGUCAUCUUAGUCCAGGUCUGCUGCUUGUGUGUGAGUAUCUGGCACUGGGCCCAUGACAAGAAAAGGAAUUCAUGUCUCACAGUUUUCAGGUCUUACAGUUGAGGGGCCACAGCUGCUGAGAGCUUGCUGGUGGGUCCCGAGGCGGUGGGGGCCUUGCCUGGCAGGACAGUGAGCCAGAUCAGGGCUGCCUUCCACUGCGUAUAAAGCCACCAGGCCCCACCCACCCCGGGCCAGCCCAUGAAGCCCUGAACCCAUGAAUGGACUGAUCCACUCACAAGGGGGGGCCGUCCUGACCCAGUCGCCACCGCCUCCCAAUGUACCAUGAGUUUCGAGAUUUCACAGGGAUGAACAUUCUAUCCACAGCAAAUGUGUAUUUCAGAAUUGCUAAAAGAAUCGAUUUUAAAUGCUCUCAGCACAGAAAAAUAGUGCGUGGUGAGGUGACGGAUCAGUUAAUUGGCUUGAUGUAAUCAUCCCACCCAGGACACCUACAGCAAAACAUUACUGCGUCCCGUGAGAGUAGUUACAGUCGUGAUCUGUCAGGUAAACGCAGAAACAUUUUUUUUUAAAAGAUGAACAGAGAAAAAGAAAGAGCUCUGGGACCCAGGUUCAGUCAGGAGCUUUUUCUCACAGAGAAGAGGAAGGAACCUGGGGAUCCCUGAGACCAGGGGCCGUGGAUCCCAUAGGCCACGCCGACUUCCCCGACAGACAAACCCAGAGCCAGGCCGUUCUGGCGAGGGGCGGGGCUGCUCACUGAGGCGUCUUCAGCGCUGCUCCUCACUCCCCUUGAUGCCUGGAGUGAGAGUAUUUGCCUGAUUUAUUUUGUGCAGCUCAGAGCUCAUGGCGCCGAGGCAGAGCCCCUGCAUUCGGGUGGCUGAGGGUUUGACUUAAGGUUGGAUUGGGAGGAAGGGAAGAUGUGGCUGCUCCACAUGUGGGUGAAAAGAGGCAUGAGCCGCAGCAGCCCCGUGUCCUUUUCCUCUAAACUUCCAGUUUAGAAAUAUUUCCGACCUACAGAAAACUGGGGAGGGCCUCACAGUGAGCACCGACGUUUCUGUUCCUUAGCUGUGGUCGUUAACAAAGUGCCCAUUUGUGUGUGUGUGUUUGUGUACAGAAACACACAGACACCAUAACACACACAGAUACACAUAGACACAGACAUGUAUACACAUCACAGA